AAUCAUCAAACCCCCCGGUUUUGCGAUCGUGGGGCUUGGACUUGGGGGCUCUGCUGCCGCGAGGCGGCUCCCCUUAAAUGCAUCGGUCGGGCCUACUGGGGCCCCGUCACCUGGGCGUUGUAUUACCCUCGCUCUGCCGACGUGCCUCAGCUUUGCGCGCCCGACCCCGACCUGCCUCUGGAGCGGCGGUCAAUACUCUUUGAGAU
rnacentral:misc_RNA from 1 species